AUGUCAACAGAAAGAUACUAUGAUUCACAAGUUUUUAGGGGAAGCAAAGAUGGAAAGAGGAAGGUGGCAUGGGUUUAAUGGGAUGAUCUAACUAUGCCGAAAUAUUUGGGCGGUCUUAGCUUCAUGGACACUCAGCUCUUUAAUCUAGCUAUGAUAACUAAGUAGUCAUGGAGAUUAGUCCAAGAUGAAACUUCAUUAAGUGCAAGAAUACUCAAGGUAGUAUACUAUCCUAUGGGAGAUGUGCUAAGUGUCAAGGUGGGAUCUCACCCAUCUCACGUUAGGUAGACUUUAAUUGAAGGGAUUUCAGUGUUGAAGCAGGGCUUGAUCGGGCGCAUAGGGAAUCGGCUCUCGAUGAGAAUUUGGGAUGAUAAUUGGCUUACACGUGACAAUAUGUCGAGGGCUCUCCAUCUUCGGUAUGAUGACACCUCCAGUGAUGGUAGCAUAAUUAAUAGAUACGAGUGCUGGAACAUGGAAUCUGCACUCGUUUAUAAACACACGGGGGGGCCUAAUCCGGAUGUGAUCCUUAACAUCCCAUUGAGGAUGUGUAAUCCCGUUUGA
rnacentral:rRNA from 1 species